rnacentral:rRNA from 1 species
GACGGGGGGGGCAAGUGUUCUUCGGAAUCACUGGGCGUAAAGCGCACGUAGGCGGCUUUUUAAGUCAGGGGUGAAAUCCUGGAGCUCAACUCCAGAACUGCCUUUGAUACUGAGAAGCUUGAGUUCGGGAGAGGUGAGUGGAACUGCGAGUGUAGAGGUGAAAUUCGUAGAUAUUCGCAAGAACACCAGUGGCGAAGGCGGCUCACUGGCCCGAUACUGACGCUGAGGUGCGAAAGCGUGGGGAGCAAACAGG